rnacentral:rRNA from 1 species
ACUCGAUCUCAAAUCAAGUAAGACUACCCGCUGAACUUAAGCAUAUCAUA